rnacentral:rRNA from 1 species
CCUACGGGCGGCAGCAGUGGGGAAUAUUGCACAAUGGGGGAAACCCUGAUGCAGCGACGCCGCGUGAGUGAAGAAGUACUUCGUUAUGUAAAGCUCUAUCAGCAGGGAAGAAAAUUACGGUACCUGAGUAAGAAGCCCCGGCUAACUACGUGCCAGCAGCCGCGGUACUACGUAGGGGGCAAGCGUUAUCCGGAUUUACUGGGUGUAACGGGAGCGUAGACGGCAGUGCAAGUCUGGAGUGAAAGGCGGGGGCUCAACCCCCGGACUUCUCUGGAAACUGUACGGCUGGAGUGCAGGAGAGGUAAGUGGAAUUCCUAGUGUAGCGGUGAAAUGCGUAGAUAUUAGGACGAACACCAGUGGCGAAGGCGGCUUACUGGACUGUAACGGACGUUGAGGCUCGAAAGCGUGGGGAGCAAACAGGAUUAGAUACCCGUGUAGUC